GUGCUAUACUGCAUCGAGCGAACUGAUUAGAAGCUUGCUUCUAUGACGUUAGCGGCGGACGGGUGAGUAACACGUGGGCAACCUGCCUGUAAGACUGGGAUAACUUCGGGAAACCGAAGCUAAUACCGGAUAGGAUCUUCUCCUUCAUGGGAGAUGAUUGAAAGAUGGUUUCGGCUAUCACUUACAGAUGGGCCCGCGGUGCAUUAGCUAGUUGGUGAGGUAACGGCUCACCAAGGCCACGAUGCAUAGCCGACCUGAGAGGGUGAUCGGCCACACUGGGACUGAGACACGGCCCAGACUCCUACGGGAGGCAGCAGUAGGGAAUCUUCCGCAAUGGACGAAAGUCUGACGGAGCAACGCCGCGUGAGUGAUGAAGGCUUUCGGGUCGUAAAACUCUGUUGUUAGGGAAGAACAAGUACAAGAGUAACUGCUUGUACCUUGACGGUACCUAACCAGAAAGCCACGGCUAACUACGUGCCAGCAGCCGCGGUAAUACGUAGGUGGCAAGCGUUAUCCGGAAUUAUUGGGCGUAAAGCGCGCGCAGGCGGUUUCUUAAGUCUGAUGUGAAAGCCCACGGCUCAACCGUGGAGGGUCAUUGGAAACUGGGGAACUUGAGUGCAGAAGAGAAAAGCGGAAUUCCACGUGUAGCGGUGAAAUGCGUAGAGAUGUGGAGGAACACCAGUGGCGAAGGCGGCUUUUUGGUCUGUAACUGACGCUGAGGCGCGAAAGCGUGGGGAGCAAACAGGAUUAGAUACCCCUGGUAGUCCACGCCGUAAACGAUGAGUGCUAAGUGGUUAGAGGGUUUCCGCCCUUUAGUGCUGCAGCUAACGCAUUAAGCACUCCGCCCUGGGGGAGUACGGUCGCAAGACUGAAAC
rnacentral:rRNA from 1 species